UGGGGAAUUUUGCGCAAUGGGGGAAACCCUGACGCAGCAACGCCGCGUGCGGGACGACGGCCCUCGGGUUGUAAACCGCUUUCAGUGGGGACGAUGGUGACGGUACCCACAGAAGAAGCUCCGGCUAACUACGUGCCAGCAGCCGCGGUAAUACGUAGGGAGCGAGCGUUAUCCGGAUUCAUUGGGCGUAAAGCGCGCGUAGGCGGCUGCCUAAGCGGAACCUCUAAUCCCGGGGCUCAACCUCGGGCCGGGUUCCGAACUGGGCGGCUCGAGUGCGGUAGAGGCAGGCGGAAUUCCCGGUGU
rnacentral:rRNA from 1 species